rnacentral:misc_RNA from 1 species
AAGUCGUAACAAGGUUUCCGUAGGUGAACCUGCGGAAGGAUCAUUAAAGAGACGUUGCCCUUCGGGGUAUACCUCCCACCCUUUGUUUAUUAUACCUUUGUUGCUUUGGCAGACCCGGCUUCGGCCCACCGGCUCCGGCUGGUCAGUGUCUGCCAGAGGACCUAAAACUCUGUUUGUUAAUAUUGUCUGAGUACUAUAUAAUAGUUAAAACUUUCAACAACGGAUCUCUUGGUUCUG